rnacentral:rRNA from 1 species
CAGUAGCCGCGGUAAAACGUAGGCGGCAAGCGUUGUCCGGAAUUAUUGGGCGUAAAGGGAGCGCAGGUGGGACGGUAAGUCCGUCUUAAAAGGCAGGGGCUCAGCCUCUGUAAGGGAUGGAAACUAUCGAUCUUGAGUGCCGGAGAGGAAAGCGGAAUUCUCAGUGUAGCGGUGAAAUGCGUAGAUAUUGGGAAGAACACCAGUGGCGAGGCGGCUUUCUGGACGGCAACUGACACUGAGGCUCGAAAGCCAGGGGAGCGAACGGGAUUAGAUACCCCUGUAGUCCCUGUCUCUUAUACAA